rnacentral:misc_RNA from 1 species
UGGUUCUGGCAUCGAUGAAGAACGCAGCGAAAUGCGAUAAGUAAUGUGAAUUGCAGAAUUCAGUGAAUCAUCGAAUCUUUGAACGCACAUUGCGCCUACCAGUAUUCUGGUGGGCAUGCCUGUUCGAGCGUCAUUUCAACCCUUAAGCCUUUGUCGCUUAGCGUUGGGUGCCUACUGGAACUCUCCCGUAGCGCCCUAAAGUCAGUGGCGGAGCCGGCUCGCACUCCAGACGUAGUAGCUUUUACACAUCGCCUGUAGCGUGGGCCGGUCCCCUGCCGUAAAACCCCCCCAAUUCUUAUAGGUUGACCUCGGAUCAGGUAGGAAUACCCGCUGA